rnacentral:rRNA from 1 species
UGGGGAAUAUUGCACAAUGGGCGAAAGCCUGAUGCAGCAACGCCGCGUGAGGGACGACGGCCUUCGGGUUGUAAACCUCUUUUAGCAAGGAAGAAGCGAAAGUGACGGUACUUGCAGAAAAAGCGCCGGCUAACUACGUGCCAGCAGCCGCGGUAAUACGUAGGGCGCAAGCGUUAUCCGGAAUUAUUGGGCGUAAAGAGCUCGUAGGCGGUUUGUCGCGUCUGCUGUGAAAACCCGAGGCUCAACCUCGGGCCUGCAGUGGGUACGGGCAGACUAGAGUGCGGUAGGGGAGAUUGGAACUCCUGGUGUAGCGGUGGAAUGCGCAGAUAUCAGGAAGAACACCGAUGGCGAAGGCAGAUCUCUGGGCCGUAACUGACGCUGAGGAGCGAAAGGGUGGGGAGCAAACAGGCUUAGAUACCCUGGUAGUCCACCCCGCUAAACGUUGGGAACUAGUUGUGGGGUCCAUUCCACGGAUUCCGUGACGCAGCUAACGCAUUAAGUUCCCCGCCUGGGGAGUACGGCCGCAAGGCU